AGAUGACAUAAGGAUACCAAGGCAGGUGCUUGUUUGACUUAUCUGAUGACCCUGAUGGCUGCUUCCAUAUGAGAAGCCCUAGGAGCAUGCAUAAAUUGGUUCAGGCAUUACAUAGCAAAAAUAAUGUCAUGCCUAGUGAUAAUCAAGUAAAGGAUCUUCUAGUGGUCGAUGAGCCAACAUGGGCAUCAAAUUCACUGCUGGGUAAGUUUCUGAUUCAACUCCACUGAUGCCCCAGGUGGCCAAGCAGCUGCUAACCCCAUGUCUGAAAUUAAUCUAGAGAAUAUUUGUGUUGAUGCAUCAUAAUGCCCUCAUUACUUCUAGCAAAUUCUAUCCAACAAAAAAUAUCCAAGCUCACCUAGAUCCAUAAUCUUGAAACUGUUCUGCAGAACAACCUUUGUGGCACUAAUUAUCUCAAGAUCAUUCCUAGUGAUUAAGAUAUCAUCAACAUAAACAAGAAUCACCACUUGUUUGUUUCCUGAUUUCUUGGUGAGCAAAGAAUAAUCUAAAUAGAUCUGUGUAUAACAAGAAGCAGUCAGUGCUGAGAUUAACUUAAUGUUCCACCGUCGGGAUGCUCGUUUAAGCCCAUAAAGGAGAUAACUGCUCUAACAGUGACCAUUUUGACAACAUGAGAGAAUAUUUCUUAGUAGUCAAUUCUCUCCUUUUGGUUGUAUCAAUUUUCCACUAACCUUGCCUUAACCUUUUCACUUCAUCAUUUGCCUUGUACUUGAUCUUGUAAACUCAUUUUCACCCUAUGGACUUCUUCCCCUUUGGUAGUUAUACAACCUCCCAGAUCUUAUUUUCUUGCAUAUAUCUCAACUUUUAUUGCUUCUAUCCACUUUCUAUCUUUGGCGGCUUCAGGAUAUGAUCUUGGAUUAGUAAUGCUAGAGACAUGUGCCACAAAUUCUGGUAGGGCUUGGAGAAAUGGUCAUAGCUAAUCACUGCUGAUAUUGGAGAAAGGCGUGUGCUUUCCACUUUGUAUUCCUUGCCUUGGGUAAUAUCGUUCUUGAGCCGGAUGGGAGGCUUACUGAACCUCCCUAAUUUCUUGACUGUAUUAUGUAUAGGCUCAAUAUCAAUAAGUGGCUCCUGAGAAGUGGGAGCUGAGGACGGAACAUGUGCAUCUUAAGCCGGUGAAAGACUGCCAGAAAUAGUUGGAAGAGAUGUUCCAUGGCUUCUUGAUGCUGUAUAUAUUGCACGAUAGGAGCACUGAUGGACCUGUCUACCUCUAGCUCAGGUUCCCUCAACAUGUGUGACUGCUGGCCUGAAUUUGCAAAUGGUCUGGGCUAGAAGAAAUAAUCUAUGUAGGUGCUUAUGUAGGUAUGUGUUGCAGAGAACCAUCAGUAGACUAACAGAAGGACUCAUAGUGUGAAAG
rnacentral:lncRNA from 1 species